UACGGAGGGUGCGAGCGUUGUCCGGAAUCACUGGGCGUAAAGGGCGCGUAGGCGGCCUGAUAAGUCGGGGGUGAAAUCCUGCGGCUUAACCGCAGGGCUGCCUUCUAAACUGUCAGGCUCGAGCACAGUAGAGGCAGAUGGAAUUCCCGGUGUAGCGGUGGAAUGCGUAGAGAUCGGGAAGAACAUCGGUGGCGAAGGCGGUCUGCUGGGCCGUUGCUGACGCUGAGGCGCGACAGCGUGGGGAGCAAACAGG
rnacentral:rRNA from 1 species